rnacentral:rRNA from 1 species
CUUUCCUUCGGGACAGAGGAGACAGGUGGUGCAUGGUUGUCGUCAGCUCGUGUCGUGAGAUGUUGGGUUAAGUCCCGCAACGAGCGCAACCCUUAUGCUUAGUUGCCAGCAGGUCAAGCUGGGCACUCUAAGCAGACUGCCGGUGACAAACCGGAGGAAGGUGGGGAUGACGUCAAAUCAUCAUGCCCCUUAUGACCUGGGCUACACACGUACUACAAUGGCCGGUACAACGGGAAGCGAA